GCCAGAUUGUGAGGAUUUUCCAUGCCAAACAGAGGAGAUUGUACUUUGUCUUACUGGCAAUAUGGAAUCACUGGAGUUUUUUGAGGAGAUAGACUUAACCUCGCAGACUUAACUGGAGGAGGCCAAGAGAGCAUGGGUGAAAUUAGGAUGGAGAUGGGGUAAGAAAAUCAAGAAAAGACUAUCAGGGCAACAUCCACCCUCUUCAUGAUGAGACAGCAGUUGACAUCUCUAAAAUUGAGCAGCCAUAGCACCUACCCACAAUUGGAUUUGAGAUUGAUGCCUUCAAAGCUAUAUGGGAAAGGGCAGAGGAAGAAUACAAUCAGAGAUAUCACCAGUCAUUCUUCAGACCAUUGCAGGAAGAAGGAAUUCAUGAUGGACUUUGGAGAGGCUACUUUCAGCUACUUGAUCCAUGGCUAUACCAAGGUGUCACUAAGUCACAAGCAUCAGUUCCAUGGAGUUGAUCAGGCCUGAACUAGGCCAACACCAGCAUGAAGGAUGGAGAUCCAUUCAGGAG